GAUGAACGCUGGCGGCGUGCCUAAUACAUGCAAGUCGAACGCUGGAAAUCUAGCUUGCUAGAUUGAAGGAGUGGCGAACGGGUGAGUAAUACAUAAGCAACCUACCCACGAAGACUGGGAUAAUCUCUGGAAACGGGGACUAAUACCGGAUAGGUAAUCGGAAGGCAUCUUCUGAUUAUUAAAGGUUAAAAACACUGGUGGAUGGGCUUAUGGCGCAUUAGUUAGUUGGUGAGGUAACGGCCCACCAAGACGAUGAUGCGUAGCCGGCCUGAGAGGGUGAACGGCCAGAUUGGGACUGAGACACGGCCCAGACUCCUACGGGAGGCAGCAGUAGGGAAUUUUCGGCAAUGGGGGAAACCCUGACCGAGCAACGCCGCGUGAGUGAUGACGGCCUUCGGGUUGUAAAGCUCUGUUGUAAGGGAAGAACGGUAGAUAGAGAAUAUCUAAAUGACGGUACCUUACCAGAAAGCCACGGCUAACUACGUG
rnacentral:rRNA from 1 species